UACGUAGGGUGCAAGCGUUAAUCGGAAUUACUGGGCGUAAAGCGUGCGCAGGCGGUGAUGUAAGACAGGUGUGAAAUCCCCGGGCUUAACCUGGGAAUUGCGAUGGUGACUGCAAGGCUAGAGUUUGGCAGAGGGGGGUAGAAUUCCACGUGUAGCAGUGAAAUGCGUAGAGAUGUGGAGGAACACCGAUGGCGAAGGCAGCCCCCUGGGUCAAGACUGACGCUCAUGCACGAAAGCGUGGGGAGCAAACAGG
rnacentral:rRNA from 1 species